UCCCUUCCAACCCAAACCAUUCCAUGAUUCUAUGCUGAUAUUCCAGAACCCAAACAUUCCUCAACCCUCUGUGUAUCAGCUAAGCACGUUAACAUCCUGCCUGCUCUGUCCUCUCGUGCACCCUGCCCACCCCGCUGCUCAGUGCUCCGUCUCUGCAGCAGGAGGGACACUGUCCUGCUCCACCAUGGCCACGGUCCCUCGGGAGGAGGAACCUGUCAGGCAGAAGAGGGAUCUUGGCGGGCUUGGGUCCCCCGUUCCGUGGUUGCGUGCUCUGAGCUUGAACGCGCUGCAAGGCCUGGGCAUCUCCACAAACAGUGCAGGGACUCUAAUUCGGCUCCUGAAUAGGAGAGUGGGUGGUGGGUCCCUGGUGGAGGGCAGAACCUCCCCACCCGCAGGCCUUGGUGACAAGCUGUACUGAAGGCUUGCUCCCGUGCCCAGCGCUCCCUGCCUCCGGAACACCCCGAAUCCAGGCUGCUCCCUGUGCUGGCCAUUGUGGAGCCCAUCCUGCCACAUCCUGACCGUGCUUGCACGCUCUCCCAGAGAGCCCUGGGCUCCCUUCCGGGGGCUGCCAUUGUCGGCUCGGCUUUUUAUUCCAGCUUUGGCCCAAAGUAGAUUGGACCCGAGACAGGAAAGACUCCAAGCACAAGCUCUGCCAGCUGCUCCUCGUCUGUAAAAUCUAAAAGUUGCUGCUCCUUGAAACCAGGCAUUUUUAUUUGCAUGAGAAAGCUGGAGCUGCGUGUAAGAUAGUCUGUGAUCUGAUUUUAAAAGAAAAGGAUAAAAAUAAGUCUAAUUGUGUUCUCGUUCUGCCUCAAUUUAGCUGCUGGCCGUUCUCCUUUGUGCUCCCCGCAUUUCUGGAGAGCUGGUUGACACUUAUUUAGGUUGGCACAAACUAAAUAUAACCAAGUGUGUGUGAAAGAGCACGGACUGGGUCACAGCUUCCAGAGCAGCAGAAAGAAGCAUUUUGCCUUAAAAUACGAAAAUCCAGCUCUUCCGAGACAGCUCAAUGAAACACACACAACCUGAACAAAAAGUAAGCGUUCCAUUCAACUCCUGUAUGCUGCUGAAAUUUUUUUUUUGAAUUUUUUUUUUUUUUUGCCAGCUUUUACAGUCCACAGCCUUCUCAUUCAGUCUUGAAUAAUAGCUUUGAAUCGAGCUGUAAAAGCUUCCGAAGUUUGAAGUCUUUUGACAAGUUAAUUUAGCUGUAUGGUAAAAAGUUUUUCCCCCAGAUAGAAUAAAGCCAUCAUCUCAUGAAUGUAGUAGUCAGCCAAGGGAAAGAAAACACCAUUAGGAUUAGAAAUGAUGGGCUUUCUGGAGAUAGUUUGUGGUUUAGUGUAAUCUACUAUCAAUAUUUCAGUAGAAAAAUAUCCUACUCGUCAUUCAGCUGCAAGUCAGUAUCUUCAUGUAAAACCAACACCCAGGGGCCAGGCUGCAAAUAUUUUCAUUUCUAGCUUGUUUUUUUUUUUUGGUCACGUUUUUCUUACACUUAUUUAGAUUUUAAUUGGUUUUCACCCUGGAUGAUGUCUUUUUUGGUUGCUUUUUUUUUUUUCCUGGGUGAAAGAGACAGAAUAGAAAAAUGGAUCAAUAUUUCCUCUAAGGUUCCCACUACAGAGAGACACACCCCACAUUAUUCUCCCAGCAGCUGCCAUGGAUGAAAAUAAAUAUAAUAAAUUGAUACCCAUUUCCCUUGUUUUUACCAUUAAGAAUAAGAAAAUGAGCACUGAUAAACAAAGUGUAUCCAACAGUUACCCUAGCCUUGACUUCACAAAGAUUCCGUAUUUAUUUUAGACUUACUUCUGCUUUUUAUCUAAAUUUAAGCCUUAAGCGUGCUACUAAAAUUGACUGAACCAAAAAAACAGUUGAGGGGGGAAAAGAGAUUUCUGUCAUACUCUUAAUUCUUCAGUGUAAUUUAGAGGGAUGAUGACACGGUAAGAACUUUUGGGCAGUGGUUUGUAAUGGCCCCAGAAUAAUUUUUCUCUCUGCAGUAGGAAUCCUUGUGGAUCCCUUCCAAGUCAGGAUGUUCCAUAACACAGUCGAGAGCAUAGCUGCUAAACAAAUAGGAAGUUUAUACAAAUCCAGAAAAAUAUUAAAAACAAACUUCAGCAAGGAGUUUUAUUUUAAAAGCGCAUUGCAAAAUGACCGCCGUAACAACCCAGUGUAUCUCCAUCAGCAAAAGUAAAGUGUAAAUAUGGAGAAGAAAGCAAACUUUACAUUGUGACCUUCAUUUUGAACUUCACUUGCUCUUUUUUUCCCCCCAAGUGGGGGACAGGGACUUGCUUUUGCCCAAAACAACAGCAAGAACUUGUUUCUGAGAGUCUGGCUCGUAGUGCUUCAGGAUUCCAGCUCUUCAGGCCCUGAGUGCUGCAGACUUGAUGAAGUGUCGGGUGUGCAGCCAAGCUGGGGAACGGCUCCUGCAGCCAAACACAGGCGUGGGGGGCUCGGGAGUGGAGGAGAACCCCCUCGUUCUGCCUCACAGCUCGCUCUGAGCCACACAGGGCUGCAGCAGGGUAAGGAAGAGGUGUGUAUCUCUGAAAGAGUUGUGCAAGGAGAGGAGGAGGAGAUCCAGCUGAAGCAAAAUUCACCAGGAUUAAAAAAAAACCCCAGUAACAACAGAACAAAACUCCACAACAAAAGGUAUGUUGGGGCAGAACACAGGAGAGGGGCGAUGUAAAUGUAACACUGCUUGUCCCAUCAGAGCUGCGUUGUGAGUUCGGGGGGCUUGAUGGGGUUUUUACUCCAAAAAGGAGUAAAACAGUGUGCUGUGGGAAAGAUGGAGAACAGGGAAUGGGAGGUUAAGCACAGAAGGGUGAUGGGCGGGGCAGGAAAACCAAGGGAGGUCAGUGAUGGCAUUUGAAUGAUCAGGAGGAAGAAGAGGAAGCCAUCACCAGGCUGGAAAUUGUGUCUAGGCUUGACUUUCUCCACAGAACCAAGUGGCACCGGCACUUCUUUGGUGUCUAGGCUCCAGAGGAAGUUCCUGCUGGCUCUCUUCUUAACUUUAUCCUCCUUUUUUUUUAGGCUGUGGAGUGGCAGGAUUGGAGUGGAAAGCUGAAGCACCCUAUUUUACUUUCACCAGCUCCCUGUGACUAGCGAGGGAAAUUAGCUGGAGUGUUGUGAUGGCUGUUUCCUGCUUGAGAACAGAAAAAAUGGAAUCAUUCCUGACAAACAAGGAGUUCAGCUAAAGAUGAGGUGGAGGUCUCCUGACACUCAAAAAUAAUUUGGGAGGUUAUUUAUACAUAUAUUCCCCCAUCCCUCGGAGCACACAAGCUGGCCCCGAAUAAAGAGGGCAGAACAACCAUGCGAGGAAACCCAAAACCUCACCAGCCAAAGAACAACAAACAAGCCCACGAGCCCAAAGAAGCUGAAAAUGAAACAGAAAGGGCUUCAGCUUUAGGCAGAAGUGGCGUUCUUAGUGCCAGUGGUGCUCUCAGGUGUGUAUUCCAGGGAAAAUAGCCCCAAACUCCUGGCCUGCUCCAGGGCAAGCCAUGCUACGCGUGUGCUCAAGCCUAGACCUGUCAAAGUGUAAUGGUGGGAAACUGGCGGGAAUAAAUUGUUAUCUUAAAAUUAAAGUAAGAUGGAAAGCUGAA